rnacentral:rRNA from 1 species
GACGAAGGGGGCUAGCGUUGUUCGGAAUUACUGGGCGUAAAGCGCGUGUAGGCGGUUGCCCAAGUCGGGUGUGAAAGCCUUGAGCUCAACUCAAGAAAUGCACUCGGUACUGGGUGACUAGAGGACCGGAGAGGAUAGUGGAAUUCCCAGUGUAGUGGUGAAAUACGUAGAGAUUGGGAAGAACACCAGUGGCGAAGGCGGCUAUCUGGACGGUUUCUGACGCUAAGACGUGAAAGCGUGGGGAGCAAACAGG